rnacentral:rRNA from 1 species
UACGGGGGGGGUAAGCGUUGUUCGGAAUUACUGGGCGUAAAGGGCUCGUAGGCGGCCAACUAAGUCAUACGUGAAAUCCCUCAGCUUAACUGGGGAACUGCGUGUGAUACUGGAUGGCUUGGAUUUGGGAGAGGGAUGCGGAAUUCCAGGUGUAGCGGUGAAAUGCGUAGAUAUCUGGAGGAACACCUGCGGUGUAGACGGCUUUCUGGACCAUUGCUGACGCUGAGACACGAAAGCGUGGGUAGCAAACAGG